GCAUUCUCUUGAAAUGCCUUCGAUCCCUCUUCUCCCUUCUCAUCAUAAUCCACAUGGUCCCCCACUGCCUAAAUAUAUUGGUUCAACAACCCAUGGAAUCUCGUUCACGAACGUGAUUGCUCCAGUAAUGUGAUAUAGCACCUUAACAUCACGAACCUGUUCCCAUGGCAUGGGCAUGUUCUCUAGAAGCUUGUAGACUGCAUGAGGA
rnacentral:lncRNA from 1 species